rnacentral:rRNA from 1 species
GUGGGGAAUAUUGGACAAUGGGCGAAAGCCUGAUCCAGCCAUGCCGCGUGUGUGAAGAAGGUCUUCGGAUUGUAAAGCACUUUAAGUUGGGAGGAAGGGCAGUAAGUUAAUACCUUGCUGUUUUGACGUUACCGACAGAAUAAGCACCGGCUAACUUCGUGCCAGCAGCCGCGGUAAUACGAAGGGUGCAAGCGUUAAUCGGAAUUACUGGGCGUAAAGCGCGCGUAGGUGGUUUUGUAAGUUGGAGGUGAAAGCCACGGGCUCAACCUGGGAACUGCGUACAAAACUGCAUGACUAGAGUACGGUAGAGGGUAGUGGAAUUUCCUGUGUAGCGGUGAAAUGCGUAGAUAUAGGAAGGAACACCAGUGGCGAAGGCGACUACCUGGACUGAUACUGACACUGAGGUGCGAAAGCGUGGGGAGCAAACAGGAUUAGAAACCCUUGUAGUCC